CCAAUAGCGUAUAUUAAAGUUGUUGCAGUUAAAAAGCUCGUAGUUGAAUUUCGGAAUCAAUAUGUCGGUCGUGCUUCGGUACGUACUGGUAUCAUUGGUUUCUCCUUUCUGACGAACCAUGAUGUCAUUAAUUUGGUGUUAUGGGGAGUUAGGACUGUUACUUUGAAAAAAUUAGAGUGUUUAAAGCAGGCUUUAGCUUGAAUACAUUAGCAUGGAAUAAUGAAAUAGGACGUUCGAACCUAUUUUGUUGGUUUCUAGGAUCAACGUAAUGAUUAAUAGGGAUAGUUGGGGGCAUUAGUAUUCAAUUGUCAGAAGUGAAAUUCUUGGAUUUAUUGAAGACUAACUACUGCGAAAGCAUUUGCCAAGGAUGUUUUCAUUAAUCAAGAACGAAAGUUAGGGGAUCGAAGACGAUCAGAUACCGUCGUAGUCUUAACCAUAAACUAUGCCGACUAGGGAUCGGAUGAUGUUAAUUUUUUAAUGACUCAUUCGGCGCCUUACG
rnacentral:rRNA from 1 species